AGAGUUUGAUCCUGGCUCAGGACGAACGCUGGCGGCGCGCCUAACACAUGCAAGUCGAACGGAGCUGAGAGGAGCUUGCUUUUCUUAGCUUAGUGGCGAACGGGUGAGUAACGCGUGAGUAACCUGCCCUGGAGUGGGGGACAACAGUUGGAAACGACUGCUAAUACCGCAUAAGCCCACGGUGCUGCAUGGCACAGCGGGAAAAGGAUUUAUUCGCUCUAGGAUGGACUCGCGUCCAAUUAGCUAGUUGGUGAGGUAACGGCCCACCAAGGCGACGAUUGGUAGCCGGACUGAGAGGUUGAACGGCCACAUUGGGACUGAGACACGGCCCAGACUCCUACGGGAGGCAGCAGUGGGGGAUAUUGCACAAUGGGGGAAACCCUGAUGCAGCGACGCCGCGUGGAGGAAGAAGGUUUUCGGAUUGUAAACUCCUGUCGUUAGGGACGAUAAUGACGGUACCCAACAAGGAAGUGACGGCUAACUACGUGCCAGCAGCCGCGGUAAAACGUAGGUCACAAGCGUUGUCCGGAAUUACUGGGUGUAAAGGGAGCGCAGGCGGGAAGACAAGUUGGAAGUGAAAUCUAUGGGCUCAACCCAUAAACUGCUUUCAAAACUGUUUUUCUUGAGUAGUGCAGAGGUAGGCGGAAUUCCCGGUGUAGCGGUGGAAUGCGUAGAUAUCGGGAGGAACACCAGUGGCGAAGGCGGCCUACUGGGCACCAACUGACGCUGAGGCUCGAAAGUGUGGGUAGCAAACAGGAUUAGAUACCCUGGUAGUCCACACUGUAAACGAUGAUUACUAGGUGUUGGAGGAUUGACCCCUUCAGUGCCGCAGUUAACACAAUAAGUAAUCCACCUGGGGAGUACGACCGCAAGGUUGAAACUCAAAGGAAUUGACGGGGGCCCGCACAAGCAGUGGAGUAUGUGGUUUAAUUCGACGCAACGCGAAGAACCUUACCAAGUCUUGACAUCCUGCGACGCACAUAGAAAUAUGUGUUUCCUUCGGGACAUCGAGACAGGUGGUGCAUGGUUGUCGUCAGCUCGUGUCGUGAGAUGUUGGGUUAAGUCCCGCAACGAGCGCAACCCUUAUUGCCAGUUACUACGUAAGAGGACUCUGGCGAGACUGCCGUUGACAAAACGGAGGAAGGUGGGGAUGACGUCAAAUCAUCAUGCCCUUUAUGACCUGGGCUACACACGUACUACAAUGGCGUUUAACAAAGGGAAGCGAGCCUGCGAGGGUAAGCAAAUCUCAAAAAUAACGUCUCAGUUCGGAUUGUAGUCUGCAACUCGACUACAUGAAGCUGGAAUCGCUAGUAAUCGCGAAUCAGCAUGUCGCGGUGAAUACGUUCCCGGGUCUUGCACACACCGCCCGUCA
rnacentral:rRNA from 1 species